rnacentral:rRNA from 1 species
AUUGAACGCUGGCGGCAUGCUUUACACAUGCAAGUCGAACGGUAACAGGCCUUCGGGUGCUGACGAUUGGCGAACGGGUGAGUAAUGCAUCGGAACGUACCCAGAGGUGGGGGAUAACGCAGCGAAAGCUGUGCUAAUACCUCAUGUGAUCUGAGGAUGAAAGCGGGGGACCGAGCGGCAAUGUUUGGCCUCGCGCCUUUGGAGCGGCCGAUGUCGGAUUAGCUAGUUGGUGGGGUAAAGGCCUACCAAGGCGACGAUCCGUAGCUGGUCUGAGAGGACGACGACCAACACGGGGACGGAGAAACGGCCCAGACUCCUAGGGGGGGCAGAGGUGGGGAAUUUUGGACAAGGGGGGCAGGCCUGCCCCAGAAAGGCGGCGUGCGGGAAGAAGGCCUUCGGGUUGAAAACCGCUUUUGGAAGGAAGGAAGCGGUGUCCGCUAAUAACGGGCGCUAAUGACGGUACCUGCAGAAUAAGCAACGGCUAACUACGUG